CUCGUAGGCGGUUUGUCACGUCGUCUGUGAAAUCCUAGGGUUUAACCCUGGACGUGCAGGCGAUACGGGCUGACUUGAGUACUACAGGGGAGACUGGAAUUUCUGGUGUAGCGGUGGAAUGCACAGAUAUCAGGAAGAACACCGAUGGCGAAGGCAGGUCUCUGGGUAGUAACUGACGCUGAGGAGCGAAAGCAUGGGUAGCGAACA
rnacentral:rRNA from 1 species